GAAGACUAAGACUGGAGAUAGGGAGAGAAACACAGUCUCCUGUAGUGGUCUGGGCUUGAAGAAACAAAGUAACUUAACCAAGUGAUCAAACCAGGAUUGAGUCUUGUUCAUCAACUCCUGAGCUACCUUCGUGGAAGAUGACGAGCAGCCUGCAUCCAACGACUGGUCUGUCAGGAGCUCAUCAAGGCCGAGCAUUGGGACAACUCUGAAGAGCCAUCCAGCUUCAGGGCUCUCUGUGAAAUGGGGCCUUUUGCACCUGUGUGGCAGCCCAUCUGAUAUGGUUUGGGAUCUGUGUUUUUAACAUGCUAUACGGGGUUGUAGCCUAGCAGCAAUAGGUUACACCAUAUAUCCUGUGCACAGGUGCACAGUAGGCUAUAACACUAAGGUCUGUGUAAGUACAUGCUAUGAUGUUUGCACAACUAUAAAAUCACCUAAUGAUGCCUUUCUCAGAGCUUAUCCCUACCAUUAAAUGAUGCAUGAUUAUCUCUC
rnacentral:lncRNA from 1 species